rnacentral:rRNA from 1 species
UACGUAGGGUGCAAGCGUUAAUCGGAAUUACUGGGCGUAAAGCGUGCGCAGGCGGUUAUGUAAGACAGGUGUGAAAUCCCCGGGCUUAACCUGGGAACUGCAUUUGUGACUGCAUAGCUAGAGUACUGUAGAGGUGGAUGGAAUUCCGCGUGUAGCAGUGAAAUGCGUAGAUAUGCGGAGGAACACCGAUGGCGAAGGCAAUCCCCUGGACCUGUACUGACGCUCAUGCACGAAAGCGUGGGGAGCAAACAGG